rnacentral:tRNA from 1 species
GUCGAGUUGAAAGCUUCCCUGCUGUGACAGAUGGAUGUGUAUUCAGAGGGCAUUGAAUUUGUAAGGUGGAUGAGACGGGCUUCUGAGUUAAGGGGCUGCUUUUAAGCCACCCUUCCCCCUCCCCUUCUGUUGAAAAAAAUAAUUUCUCAGGCACCAGGCUGUCAUCAACCCACUAAUUGUUUUGCCUCCAGGCAGGACCAGUUCUUGGGGCAAAUUACUUCUGGCUGUAGAGCCGUUUGGCCUCAGCAUUAUGCUGCUGACCAAAUGGCUGUUGUCACGGGGUGUCAGGCCUGCACGCUGGGGCCAAAGGAGGGAUGGUGUGUGUCUCCCCCAGCCCCCGCUGCUGCUCCUAGGCGGGUGGAGAGGGUCCUUCUGCUGCUGCUCUUUCCAGAUUGAGGAAGGGGGCUGGGGCUGUGGCAAAGGAGGGAAGAGGAGACUGGUGUCCUGGUCGCCGCUCUUCCUGUCUGAUGUGUGGAUUCCACAUCUUGUAGGGAAUCGAGUUCCCAGCCUCCAGGUGCAGCAGGGAGGGGCGGGGCGGUGUUGGGAUCCAGGUUCUGUCAGGGGACCAACCAUCGCCUGAAACUGCCCCUCACCGUGGCCAGGCAGGUGCCUGAGCUGUCUAACAGCAGGAGGCCCCGAUAAGGCACCAUGGUGGUGCCCUGAAGACUAACCCAGAGGAUUGGGAGGGGCCGAUAGGAGGGAGGAGAGGACCCACCUCCCCGGAGCCUUGGCGCUGGAAUCCUUCUUGGCUGAGAGCUGCAGGUGCCACCAAAAAAGACCCUGCGUCAGAUCAAUUACUGGCCGAGCAAGACAGUUGGUCAGAGACAACCUGGAAACUAACCGGAGAUUGCGAGCAGUGGCAGAGCAGCUCUCCUGGGUUCCCUCACCUGCUGCUCUCCACCCGGGCGCCCCUUCCCAGCAAAGUCCUUUGCGUUAUCAGCACGUGUGUCUCCACGGACAGUUCAUUUCUGAGUGUUAGACAGGAGCCCAUGCUCGGGCCCUGGACGGGGUUCCCCUCCCUGUAACAGUUCUGUUGGGUUUCCCUCCAGGGCUUGUUGCAAGUGAAACAUCAAGUGGUGAUUUUCAAUGCUGGCUGAUAUUCAGAGGCACCUGGGGAGCUUUUAAGAACACGCAGCGCCAGGGCUUGUUCCCUGUUAUGUCCCCAGCACAUAGCAAGCACGUGGCGGUCCACACAGGACAGGCACUGCCACACACUGUGUAAAAUUCGUUACAUUCUGUCUGUCCAGAAUGUCCAGGAAGGUGAGGAGAAGCAGUCUCUCAGCCCAUCAUUCAUACUUGAAGAGUCUGGGAGUACCCAUUGUGGCUCAGCAGAAACGAAUCUGACUAGGAUCCAUGAGGAUGCGGGUUCGAUCCCUGGCCUCGCUCAGUGGGUUAAGGAUCUGGCGUUGCCAUGAGCUGGGGUGUAGGUCACAGACGCAGCUCAGAUCCUGCAUUGCUGUGGCUGUGGCGUAGGCCGGCAGCUGUAGCUCUGAUUCAGCCCCUAGCCUGGGAACUUCCAUGUGCCGCAGGUGCAGCCCUAAAAAGCAAGCAAGCAACCAACCAAUAUGUGUGCAGAGUCUGGAGUAAGCUGGGAAUGUUUCCUUCCUUCCUGCAUCAGGUCCUCAGUAGUCAGGCAGCGCUGGUCCAGCUCAAAUGAGGUCCUGAUGCUCAUUAGCAUGAUUGUGCUUUUAGGUCAGUCCUGGACUCAGGAAUCUAGUGCUUUGUGAUCUAGCAUGAGACACAUAAACGUUGAGAAUAAACAGUCAUAAUAAGAAUAAAAAUGACAGCUUUCAUGUACAUACUGGGCAUGCCCGGCUCCAUGUCAGUGCUUUGCAUGUAUUUAAUUCUCACAUAACCAUUUGAGUGAGGCACUCUUGGACUAAGUAGUUUUCCUAGUGGUGGAGCCAGUCUGCAAACCCUGCCUCAUCUCAGAGGAUCAGCCUUGCUGGAAUGCAGACCUGGACAGUCAGACCUUGCAGAAUGUUUACAAAGCACAGACUCUGCUGAUGUUUAAGGCUUAGUGAAUUAAAAUGUAAAAUACUGGAUGACAAAGGACACAUCUAAGGGCUCAGCUGGCCCUCAGAGGCCGCUUGGUGAUGUUGGCUUUCAGGGCUACUGCCAGGGCAGCGGCACCUCCCCACACUGGCCCUGCCUGUACCUGGCCAUCUCUGGGGCCGUGUGGGGAGUUUUGCCCAGGGAGGCCCCGGGAGCACGCAGGGGUAUGGAGUGUGUGGUUUCCAGGGAGUCAAUGGCCUUCUUACAGAGAAAAGGCCCUCCUUGGGCCAGAGAAGCAAUAAAGAACAAGAUGGCAUUCGGCCUCAUGGAAUGGUGUGGAAGGAGGCAGAAGGUAAGUCGAGGGGGAAGGCCUCCUUGGAUUGGGUCAGAGAAGCUCCCCCAAGAAAGGCAGCCCGAGCCUAGGCCUGGAAGGGGUGGGGGGGAAGGUUCAGGGAGAAUUCCCAGUGUGAGCUCAGAAGUGGUCGUAAUGCUUACUCUCCCACAGCGCUUUGCUGCCGUGUAUUCCCGACAACAGUACUGGCCACGGACGGAAUUUCCAUUCAUAGAGGCGGAGGGAAGGUGUGCCAGGGCCCUAGCACCAGGCCAACACUUUGCCUGCUUCCUUCUGUCUGUCUGCCUGUCUGUCUUUUUAGGGCCACACCCAGGUUAGGGGUCACAUCCGAGCUGCAGCUGCCGGUAUACACCACAGCCACAGCAACGCCAGAUCCGAGCCACGUCUUUGACCUACACCGCAGCUCAAGGCAACGCUGGAUCCUUAACCCGCUGAGCGAGGCCGGGGAUCAAACCUGCAUCCUUCUGGAUACUAGUCAGAUUCAUUUCUGCUGAGCCACAAUGGGAACUCCCGCCUGCCUGCUCUUUUCCGUGUUAGCCACCAGCCAGUCCUCUGAAGUCAGUGUUGUUAAUCCCUUUUUUUUCACGUGAGGAAAUUGAGGUUCAGACAAAUAAAGCCAUGUUCCCAAGCCAUUCAGCUGAGCAAGUGACAGAGGUGGGAUCCAAGCUCUGGCCUCUCCCCCCGAACACAUCCUUCUCCUGUGUAUGUGUCCUGGACCACACAGUUGUGAGAGUCGGACCAGGGACUCGAACCCACAUCCUGAGAGGGCCUGGGAUGGAAGCGCUUGUUGGGAAUAGAAUCUGCCCUGAGGGCGGGGCUGGAGAAGAGGGCUCGGAAGUGGACACUGAAUGUGUGAUAUCUUAAGUAGCUCUUGAAGGGUUUUGAGCAAAGACAUGAGAUGAUGAUUGCGGCGCGUGAGCAAAAAUAUUACGGUGCAGUUUUGCUGGAGGAACCACAGCAGGAGAGACCCGCCUGGGUGGCUAAUGACAGGGCUCGGGCCAGGGUGGUGACAGAGGGCAUGGCUUGUCACAGGGGAGGGCCCGAAGGCUGGAGAAAACGGUUUCCAGCCCCUUUCCAUGAGUCCUUCCAAGAAAAGCCAUCCAUUGCAAACAGCAUGCUGUUGAUGAUGGAGGCAGCCGUUCCUGGCGCUUCCUGGUGAGCCUUGGGGCAUCUGCCUCCUUUUUAGCAAAAUCCAUUCCUAUUUUGCACCCAGUUUUCUCAUCUCCCUGUGUUUCACUGUUGGUAGGAAGGUUUGUUAUCAAUGGGUUUUUAAAUUUUUCUCCCGUGUGGUCCUUGUCUGGAAGAGCCACAAUUUAAAACAUUUUGACCUCUGCCCAGGCAUUUCUGGAUUUUUCUAUGUGUGUAAUUUCUAAGAGGGAGGAACUCGCUGGGAUCCCAUAACCAAGCGUGACAUUUUUGAGGUGGGAAAGAGGGAGAAGGCUUUCUUCCCUCACAUCUCUCACCGCCUUCACCCCAACAGCUGGCUGGCCUGCGAAGCGGCUUUUUUGGACUGGGUUGUUUCUUAGAUGAAAGAAGAAAAGCUCUGGUCACUUUUAGCUGCUUGAAACAAAUAAACAAAAACCCACCAGACUUUCGGCCCCCUGUCGUCUGUUUACCUGGAAGAGCCCUCCCACGCCUCACGGCUCACGGCACAGCCGCUGGCUGGUGCAUAGUGAACAGGUAAGAGCAAGCACCUCACUCACAGCAGCGCAGAGCGUGGCCUUUGCAGCCGACCAGCCGGCCAUCCUUUUGGAGGCAGCCCUUGUACAGUUUGAACCGUUUAAACUUUGAAGUCAGAAGUAUAUUUGACCUCCCCAGUGUGUGGGGCUAAUGUGGGUGAGAUUGGAACACAAGUCACCUAGAUUCCAAGCUCUCCUUAAAGACGUUUUAGCAAAUCAUUUAGCAAAUUAUGCAGCAGGUAAAUUUUAAAAAAAUUUUAUUUAUUAAUUUUUUUUAGUAGAAGCAUUGUUCAGCUAAAUGAAUUUUUUUCUUUUGGCUGCACCCUGGGCAUAUGGAAUUCCUGGCCUGGCCAGGGAUCAAAUUCGAGUCACAGUUUCAGCAAUGCUGGAUCCUCUUUUUUUUGUUUGUCUUUUCAGAGCCCCACCCGAAGCAUAUGGAAGUUCCCAGGCUAUGGGUCGAAUCAUAGGUACAGCUGCCGGCCUACGCUACAGCCACAACAACGUAGGAGCCGAGCCACAUCUGUGACCUACGCCACAGCUCACGGUAGUGCUGGAUCCUUAAUCCACUGAGCAAGGCCAGGGAUGGAACCUGCAUCCUUAUGAAUUUUAGUCGGGUUUUUUCCUGCUGAGCCACGAUGGGAAUUCCCAGAUCCUUUAACCCACUGUGCCAGGCGAGGUAAUCAAAUCUGUGUCCUGGUGCUGCAGAAAUGUCACCAACCCCAUUGUGCCACAGCGGGAGCUCCUAAAUGAUUUUUUUUUUUUAAGGUCAUAUUUUCUGUUGUAGUAGAACAUUUGUACCAGUUUCCCAUUGCAGCUGUUUGUAAGUGUGUGAUGCGGUGGCGUCAGGUACAUCCACGCUGGGCAGCCGUCACCACCAUCCAUCUGUAGAGCUUUCUCACCUUUCCCAGCCGAAACUCUGUACCGACGACUCCAUACCUUCCCAUCGGCUCUCCUUCCAGCUCCUGGGAACCGCCUUCUGCUUCCUGUCCCUGAAUUUGAUGAUUCUGGAAGCCUCGUCCAAGUGGGACCAAGCAGUGUUUUGUCCUUUCGUGUCUGGCUGAUUUCGCUUAGCAUUAUCAGUCACGUUCAUCCGUGUCGUAGCAUGUGUCAGGAUUUCCUUUGUUUUUAAGGUUGACUCCGAGUCCAUUGUUGUUUUGAAUAUACCACAUUUUGCCUAUUCAUUCAUCUGUCAGGAGACACUGAGCUAAAUUUUAAGGUCAUUUCCAGUGUUGCGAUUUUAUGAAUCGCUGAUUUUCCUUUUGUAACCUCAUUUUUUUUCCUCAUCAUAAAAUAGCACUGGCAACAAUGGAUUCUUUGGGGGGAUCAAUUAAAACUUUGUUAGUAAUGUUCUGGGUAUUCUCUCAUGACGCAGUGGAUGAAGGAUCUGGCGUUGUCAUUGCAGCGACUUAGGCCGAUGCUGUGGCGUGGGUUUGGUCCCUGGCUCGGGAACUUCCAUAUGGCAUGGGCGCAGCCAAAAAAAAAAUGUAUCAGUAAUAUUCUUUUCAAGAAGGACAUACAAUUUAAUGAGAAGGUGUUGCUUCUUAUGUUUCAUGUCUGAAGGCUGGGAGAGGUGACAUGGACAAAGUAUCUUAAGGUGGGGAGAGCAGUGCCACCUGGGGGCGGUGAGAGCUUGGGACCUGGCCAGGGACCCCUUCCUGCCUCUCAUGAUCUCAGAACCCUCUGGUCGACAGAUCCCCUGGGAGCCAGUGUUUCCUUGUCCUUGACGUUCUCCGGUGGUCGCUGCCCUGGAAUAGUUAGUAUGGAACCAGGAGGCCAUCACCCAACAGGGUAACUUCGUGCAGGACAAGUCCCUCAGUUGAGAGAUUUAAAAUUCACAGACAUUGGAGUCGAGAGAGAAUUAUGACGCCCGAGAAGGAGCUAACGCUAAUAUUUACCUUUAGCAAUUGACAGCUUAUUUAAAAACAGUGAAGGAUGUUGGCACAGGGAAGGGAGGAUGGAGUCUAGCGCCUGCCUACCCCAUAGUAAAUUCCGGGAGGCGAACACAUGCUGUGAAUUUAUGGCUGUGCAUUGGAAUCCUGGUUUCACGCGUUCUGGAAAGCCCGCUGGGUUGUUCUACGUUAAGGCAAGCCGUAAGGUGCCAGUCCUGAGUACUAGUGGGGAGACUUGUCCGGGCGAUAGCUGCCUAAAGGGGAGCUGCCUUGGGCCUCCGUGGCAUUGAUUUGGGGGCAGCUCUGUGGUUACAUUUAAAGUUCCUCAAGGCUCUUUUUCCCUUCUGUUGCCAAAACAUCUAUUGCGGUUUUUUUUCUCUUUUAAAAGUCAUGGAGGGGAGUUCCCUGGUGGUCUAGUGGUUAGGAUUCGGCACUUUCACUGCUGCGGCCUGGGUUUAAUCCCUGGUCUGGGAACUGAGAUCCCACAUCAAGCCACUGUGUGCUGCAGCCAGAAAAAAUUAAAAUAAGUAAAUAGGAUUUCUUGUGGCGCAUACUGGUUAAGGAUCUACCAUCAUCACCACCGUGGUUUGAGUCACCUCUGUGGCACAGGUUCAGUCUCUGGCCCGGGAACUUCCACAUGCUGGGGGCGUGGCCAAAUGAAUAAAUAAAUAAAUAAUAAAAGUAAUGCAGGAUCAUUGUAGAAAAUUGGCAAAUACAGAAAAAUAUAAAGAGGGAAGAAUCACCUCUAGGCCUCCCACCAGAGGUAACCCAUGUUCCUGUGUCACAAGGCAGCCUUAUGUUUUUCUUUGUAGGCACGUCUCCUUGUGAGACUACAUCCUUCUAAAAUAUGAUCUCUAAUUAGCUACAUGGUAUUCCGCUAUAUACACGAACGAUUUAUAAUUUAACAAUUUAUAAUUUAUGAAAAACAAUUUCUAAUUUAACAUUUAAGGAGUUUCCGUUACGGCUCAGAGCCCUGCAAGUAUCCAUGAAACCUCGCUCAGUGGGUUAAGGAUCCCGCGUUGUCGUGAGCUGUGGUGUAGGUCGUAGGUGCGGCUUGAAUCCUGCAUCGUGCUGGCUGUAGUGUAGGCCAGCAGCUACAGCUCUGAUUCGAUCCCUAGCCUGGGAACUUCCAUGUGCCGUGGGUGUAGGCCUAAAAAGAAACAAAAAAACCCUCCAAAAACCAAAAGCUAACAAUCUCCAGUUAUGAGAAACAUAGGCGAGGUCCAAAUUUUGCUGUAAUCAUCAAUGCUAUUAUAAACUCGCUUUUGUAUAUACAUCUCCGUGCAUGUCUUUGGUCAUUUUCAGAGGAUACAUUCCUAAGAAGGAUUAUAAAGAUUCUGUUACAUCUUUAGUUAUUAUUUCCCUUUUAUUUGUUGUAGCCUCAAUUUCAUCAUCUUUUUCAUUGAUUUAAUUUCUUUUCCUGUGUUCUUUCCCUGUAAUCUUUUUCUUCUUCUCAAUUCUAUAGUAUUGAUUUUGAUGGGGUUUUUUUUAAUUGUCUUUAAAAUGGAAAUUUAAAAAAAUGCAAUUGUGUUUUUGGUUUCCUGGUAUUUUCUAAUUUUAUUCUGCUUUUUUAAAAAAAGUUUGAGUCUGAAACAAGCAUACGUUUUCCACAUUUUUCUUCUGUUUCCAGAGGUCUACGCUUUGUAUCUUCAAUGCAACAUUUUACAUAUGGCUGUUGUGUUGCAGAGUAUUUCUGGAAGCUUCACAGUCUGAAUUGUUGGUUUGUCCUGGAGUGAAGACAGUUUGGUCAGGUCCUGGAUUUGCCCGCAGACAGGGCAUGCCACUUCUGCUUGGCUCCCCUCUGGCUGCCUUGUUGCUGAUAGAACCUCUUUUUGGGUCUGAGGUUGUUAGUAAAAAUUUAUGCCUCCGUUUCAGCCCUUUCAUUUCCCUGUGGGCUUGGGGACGUGGGACCCAUGGGUGGAGCCAGCAGGGAAGCUCUCCUUGCUGUUUCUUCUGCGUUUGUUAGAGUUGCUGAGAUGGGGUCAGCUUCACGCUCGGGGCUUUUUUCUUUUCCAUUCCUGCUGGCCGUAGGCUGUGAUUGUGGCCAGCGCCCCCCCGUUUGUCACAUUCAGGCAAGCUCUUGCCGCCCUGAUGGAGGUUAUCACACCUCUGGCCUUGGAGCCCAUCCCUUGCUUUUCAGAUACCGCUUCCUAGAGCUUUGAAACAGUCCAAGUGAGAUGCUUAUCCCAGCAGUUCCCGUUCUGGCUCAGCGGUAACGAACCUGACCAGUGUCCAUCAGGAUGUGGGUUCGAUCCCUGGCUUUGCUCAGUGGGUUAAGGAUCUGGUGUUGCCAUGAGCUGUGGUGUAGGUUGCAGAUGUGACUUGGAUCUGGCGUUGCUAUGGCUGUGGUGUAGGCAGGCCUGCAGCUGCAGCUCCGAUUUGACCCCUGCCUAGCUUGGGAACUUCCAUAUGCCACAUCUUCAGCCCUUAAAAACAUAAAGAAAAAAGAAAUGUUUUUUUUUUCCAGCUCCCAGGCUACUCAGUGCUGGCCCCUCUCUGUCAAGGGUCAUUAGUUGGGUUUCACCAGGGUCUCUUUCAGUUAAUUUCUGUAUCCUGCUGCUGAUGUUUCGAAGGGCAGUUCACAUAUGGCCUAGGUAGCCUUUUCACAUCUGGUCCCAGCUAUACUGUUUCUAUCUACCAGCAAUUCCCUUUCCAUCCUUCCUAUCCUUACGCCAAGCGUAAAUCUUCCAGGGUGUUAUUUAGGGGAGAGAGACGAACCCCUAAGCUGGCGUGGAUCCCUCUGUGUGUGUGUGUGUGUGUGUGUGUGUGUGUGUGUGUCCCCCGCUGGGUGCAGCAUUUCCCUUCCCUCGCUGGCCUGGCACUGAGUGCUGCCCUGGGCUCUCCGACUUCAAAGCUGUUCUCCCAGAGGUAGCUGUCCUUAAACUCAAAUGCAAACGAAAGGCAUUUCUGAGCUCUUUAAAAAAAUAAAUAAAUAAAUAAAAUAAAAAAAA